rnacentral:lncRNA from 1 species
CCAACAUAAACAGCUGUGUAACACCUCAUCGCCAGUACUCACACUUGAUGUGAUCUACAUGACGAUAUCAAGAGGGAUGGAAGUUAAUAGUGUUCUCAUCAUGUAACACCACCAGCCUUGUCUACCCCUCUGCAAACCUCAGCCUCAUCACCCUCUCCAAGGUGACAUGAGGGAGAGAUGAGUCUCCUUGUGAAACUGCUAUAUGUGUCAACAGUUCACAUAUCCCUGGACAGAAAACCAGUCGAGCUAGAUGGAGAGUUAGAGUCACAACGCUAUUCAGAGUUUACCUUGGCCUCUUUGUGGGAGAGCAAUGGCGUCCAGGUGCCCCUUAACCAUUGGAAACAUUGUGGUUGGAGAGAGUUGGCACAGAUGUCCCAGUCACAGCCUCCCUCGGGCUUCUCAUUUCCCUAUUGGCUCAUCAAUCCACUGGCCAGAAGGAGACCUGCAUUGGAUGCUGUAUUGGAAGUCCAGGUCAGGAUAUUUUCCUUGAUUUCUCAGACUCCACCAGAGAGCCCUUCAGCAUCAUGGCUGGAUUCCACCCAUACUAGAUAUAUCUGCCUUUGUCUAAGGUUUGUGAUUCAUGGUCCCUGCUGUGGGCGGUUUAC